UAGGGAAUCUUCGGCAAUGGGGGGAACCCUGACCGAGCAACGCCGCGUGAGUGAAGAAGGUUUUCGGAUCGUAAAGCUCUGUUGUUAAGGAAGAACGAGUGUGAGAAUGGAAAGUUCAUGCUGUGACGGUACUUAACCAGAAAGGGACGGCUAACUACGUGCCAGCAGCCGCGGUAAUACGUAGGUCCCGAGCGUUGUCCGGAUUUAUUGGGCGUAAAGCGAGCGCAGGCGGUUAGAAAAGUCUGAAGUGAAAGGCAGUGGCUCAACCAUUGUAGGCUUUGGAAACUGUUUAACUUGAGUGCAGAAGGGGAGAGUGGAAUUCCAUGUGUAGCGGUGAUAUGCGUAGAUAUAUGGAGGAACACCGGUGGCGAAAGCGGCUCUCUGGUCUGUAACUGACGCUGAGGCUCGAAAGCGUGGGGAGCGAACAGG
rnacentral:rRNA from 1 species